AGUGAACGCUGGCGGUAGGCCUAACACAUGCAAGUCGAACGGCAGCACAGUAAGAGCUUGCUCUUACGGGUGGCGAGUGGCGGACGGGUGAGGAAUACAUCGGAAUCUACCUUUUCGUGGGGGAUAACGUAGGGAAACUUACGCUAAUACCGCAUACGACCUACGGGUGAGAGCAGGGGAUCUUCGGACCUUGCGCGAUUGAAUGAGCCGAUGUCGGAUUAGCUAGUUGGCGGGGUAAAGGCCCACCAAGGCGACGAUCCGUAGCUGGUCUGAGAGGAUGAUCAGCCACACUGGAACUGAGACACGGUCCAGACUCCUACGGGAGGCAGCAGUGGGGAAUAUUGGACAAUGGGCGCAAGCCUGAUCCAGCCAUACCGCGUGGGUGAAGAGGGCCUUCGGGUUGUAAAGCCCUUUUGUUGGGAAAGAAAAGCAGCAGGUUAAUACCCCGCUGUUCUGACGGUACCCAAAGAAUAAGCACCGGCUAACUUCGUG
rnacentral:rRNA from 1 species